rnacentral:piRNA from 1 species
GAGGACUGUAGUGGAUAAGCUGU